GAUGAACGCUGGCGGCGUGCCUAAUACAUGCAAGUCGAGCGAACGGACGAGAAGCUUGCUUCUCUGAUGUUAGCGGCGGACGGGUGAGUAACACGUGGAUAACCUACCUAUAAGACUGGGAUAACUUCGGGAAACCGGAGCUAAUACCGGAUGAUAUUUUGAACCGCAUGGUUCAAAAGUGAAAGACGGUCUUGCUGUCACUUAUAGAUGGAUCCGCGCUGCAUUAGCUAGUUGGUAAGGUAACGGCUUACCAAGGCAACGAUGCAUAGCCGACCUGAGAGGGUGAUCGGCCACACUGGAACUGAGACACGGUCCAGACUCCUACGGGAGGCAGCAGUAGGGAAUCUUCCGCAAUGGGCGAAAGCCUGACGGAGCAACGCCGCGUGAGUGAUGAAGGUCUUCGGAUCGUAAAACUCUGUUAUUAGGGAAGAACAUAUGUGUAAGUAACUGUGCACAUCUUGACGGUACCUAAUCAGAAAGCCACGGCUAACUACGUGCCAGCAGCCGCGGUAAUACGUAGGUGGCAAGCGUUAUCCGGAAUUAUUGGGCGUAAAGCGCGCGUAGGCGGUUUUUUAAGUCUGAUGUGAAAGCCCACGGCUCAACCGUGGAGGGUCAUUGGAAACUGGAAAACUUGAGUGCAGAAGAGGAAAGUGGAAUUCCAUGUGUAGCGGUGAAAUGCGCAGAGAUAUGGAGGAACACCAGUGGCGAAGGCGACUUUCUGGUCUGUAACUGACGCUGAUGUGCGAAAGCGUGGGGAUCAAACAGGAUUAGAUACCCUGGUAGUCCACGCCGUAAACGAUGAGUGCUAAGUGUUAGGGGGUUUCCGCCCCUUAGUGCUGCAGCUAACGCAUUAAGCACUCCGCCUGGGGAGUACGACCGCAAGGUUGAAACUCAAAGGAAUUGACGGGGACCCGCACAAGCGGUGGAGCAUGUGGUUUAAUUCGAAGCAACGCGAAGAACCUUACCAAAUCUUGACAUCCUUUGACAACUCUAGAGAUAGAGCCUUCCCCUUCGGGGGACAAAGUGACAGGUGGUGCAUGGUUGUCGUCAGCUCGUGUCGUGAGAUGUUGGGUUAAGUCCCGCAACGAGCGCAACCCUUAAGCUUAGUUGCCAUCAUUAAGUUGGGCACUCUAAGUUGACUGCCGGUGACAAACCGGAGGAAGGUGGGGAUGACGUCAAAUCAUCAUGCCCCUUAUGAUUUGGGCUACACACGUGCUACAAUGGACAAUACAAAGGGCAGCGAAACCGCGAGGUCAAGCAAAUCCCAUAAAGCUGUUCUCAGUUCGGAUUGUAGUCUGCAACUCGACUACAUGAAGCUGGAAUCGCUAGUAAUCGUAGAUCAGCAUGCUACGGUGAAUACGUUCCCGGGUCU
rnacentral:rRNA from 1 species